CAUAGAUGAGACACCCACGCUACUACUGAGCGUGUCCACCGCCGCACCAUCUAAAAAAACUCUCUCUGACGAAUCUCACCCUCACCCCUCUCGGUCGAGCACCUCUCCCCCACCGCUCGAUCUCCUCGCCGCCGCCGCCGCCGCCGCCACCCAUGCCGGCCGGUUCCGGCAAGCUCCGGUCGCGCGCAACACGGCCCCAAGCUCCCCAAGCUCCGCCCCUCCCUCCCCUCCGUCCAGAUCCGUGCUACAAGGCCUGCACACUUGCCCGCGGCUAGGGUUUCGGGCGCCCCUGUGUUCUUGCUGCCGAGUGCCCAGGUCAGCCGCCGGCCAACGAGCAGAGCCUAACCUUGAGGCCUACAUGCGCUUCCUCGUUGACAGCAAGCUCAUCUUCCAGAUGCCUGAGAACAUCGUUGACCGCAUCGCCGUCCCAUGCUACUAAAAUCGAAUGUACAGACCAAGAGCCAGGAUUCAGAGACAGGAAAUUACUUGAACUUGUGAAAUCCAUGGUUGUUUACUUUGACCGCCUUCAGAUGUCGGCCACACAACAUUGCUCUCGUCGAUCUCGAAGCACGCGCCGUCGUGGCCUGCCUCCGGCUGCUUCAGCAGGCCAAGGAACCGGAAUGCGCCCACACCCGGCGACCUAGGCAUCUCCAUCGACUGUCCGACGGUUACACCAAGACCACCUCAGCAAGCGCUGCCUCACCCGGCUUCCUCUAUUCCACUCCGGCAGAGCUGAUGCAGGCCAAGAAACAGGGAGUGCCGACAAUAGAACUUGUAUGUGCAGUUUCAGUCACUGCUUGCUACUUUCAGUAGCUAAGAAGUUAGCUCGCGUGCGGCGGCUGCGGCGGCGACGGCGACAUCGACAUCGACGGGGCUGCGGCGGCGACGACGACAUCAUCGUCACGGUGGUGCGGUGGUGACUACGACAUCAACACCAUCAACACGGGCUUGUGGAGGCGCUGAUGCCGACGACCUAUAUGCGUGGUAUAUAUUGUGUGUGUGCGCGCGCACAUGUGCGCGUGUGUGGGUGUGCGUGUGUUAAUUAUCUACAUCAGAUAUGUAUGAUUGAUGAUUGACUGUUUGCAUAACAUGUACGUAUUGUGAAA